rnacentral:rRNA from 1 species
UACGUAGGGCGCAAGCGUUAUCCGGAAUUAUUGGGCGUAAAGAGCUUGUAGGCGGUUUGUCGCGUCUGCUGUGAAAUCUCAAGGCUCAACCUUGAGCUUGCAGUGGGUACGGGCAGACUAGAGUGUGGUAGGGGAGACUGGAAUUCCUGGUGUAGCGGUGAAAUGCGCAGAUAUCAGGAGGAACACCGAUGGCGAAGGCAGGUCUCUGGGCCACUACUGACGCUGAGAAGCGAAAGCAUGGGGAGCGAACAGG